rnacentral:rRNA from 1 species
GCUUGUCUCAAAGAUUAAGCCAUGCAUGUCUAAGUAUAAACAAAUCUAUACUGUGAAACUGCGAAUGGCUCAUUAUAUCAGUUAUAGUUUAUUUGAUGGUUCUUGCUACUUGGAUAACCGUAGUAAUUCUAGAGCUAAUACAUGCAUCAAACCUCGACUUUUUUGGAAGAGGUGUAUUUAUUAGAUGGAAACCAAUGCGGGGCAACCGGUCCUUUGGUGAUUCAUGAUAACUUUGCGAAUCGCAUAGCUUUAAUGCUGGCGAUGGGUCAUUCAAAUUUCUGCCCUAUCAACUUUCGACGGUAGGAUAGAGGCCUACUGUGGUGAUAACGGGUAACGAAGAAUAAGGGUUCGAUUUCGGAGAGGGAGCCUGAGAAACGGCUACCACAUCCAAGGAAGGCAGCAGG